UACGUAGGGCGCAAGCGUUAUCCGGAAUCACUGGGCGUAAAGGGCGCGUAGGCGGAUCUUUAAGUCGGGGGUGAAAGCCUGUGGCUCAACCACAGAAUUGCCUUCGAUACUGAAGAUCUCGAGACCGGAAGAGGUAAGUGGAACUGCGAGUGUAGAGGUGAAAUUCGUAGAUAUUCGCAAGAACACCAGUGGCGAAGGCGGCUUACUGGUCCGGUUCUGACGCUGAGGCGCGAAAGCGUGGGGAGCAAACGGG
rnacentral:rRNA from 1 species